UACGAAGGGGGCUAGCGUUGCUCGGAAUCACUGGGCGUAAAGCGCACGUAGGCGGGUCGUUAAGUCGGGGGUGAAAUCCUGGAGCUCAACUCCAGAACUGCCUUCGAUACUGGCGACCUUGAGUCCGGGAGAGGUGAGUGGAACUCCGAGUGUAGAGGUGAAAUUCGUAGAUAUUCGCAAGAACACCAGUGGCGAAGGCGGCUCACUGGCCCGAUACUGACGCUGAGGCACGAAAGCGUGGGGAGCAAACAGG
rnacentral:rRNA from 1 species